rnacentral:lncRNA from 1 species
GAGGUCUCCAUGCGGGGAGUUUAUUGACAGAAGAGCAUGGAACAGAAGACAGACCUGACAGUGCCAGCAGCUCCUGAGGGGUGACUGGGGAGUCAUUUGGUGGAGCAGAGGGAGCCCAGGAAUCGCUGGUUGAGAGAGGGCAGAAUGCUGUUGUCAUGAGCAGUGUGAUGCUGCCACAGCCCAGACCCAGGGGAGCGCUGCCCAAAGGCCUGGGGUGGGUCCCGGCCUUGCUAAAGUUGAAGCGCUCUGCUCCUUGUAAAGUGGGAUCGAGUGAGUACAUAUUAUGCGCUCUGGGCACCGCUGGGGCUCGUGUUCCCUGGUGGCUCUGGGGAAGCCAGCUCCUGAGUCUGUGGCCACAGAUGGGUAAAGAUGAGUCAUAAAAGUGUGGCCAGAUGCCAAGUCCUGGAUCAGGGAAGGACGGCGGCUCCGUGACACCAGCCCUGAGGGGGCCAGCUGCCUUGGGAACCUAUCGGGGGCCUUGGGGCAGCCAGUGGCUUCCAGAGGCUGGGGAGGGUUUCUCCACCAGUCCUGUCUCCAUUAGAGGUGGCGGCAGGCCUGGGGCAAAGGUGCCAUAGACUGGAGCUAUUUCUACAGCUGCAAGGAAGACGUUCCCCUUCCUUAGCAUGACUGGCCAGAAGCCUCAUCUCUGCGCACGUCUCCACUGCUCACCCUUUUGGCUCUGGAUACGAUUGGGAUUACACAGGGGAACACGCUCCUUUCAGUGUCUGGGGGAAGAGUCUCCCCAUGGAGUCCAGCAAGUAGGACUGGGCCCUUCCUCACAGCAGGGCUGCUCCCUUGGGGCAGAGAGCACAGGCCCAGCCCGGACUCAGGGCUAUAUAAGGUGGCCAGGCUGGCCGGGACUGUGGGAAACGUUCUGGGCAGCCAGAACCUCCUGGGACAGGAAGGCAUCCCCAGCAGGCAUCAGCCCCGAGCCAGGCACCACAAGCCCAGGCUCUGCCAGUCCAGCUCCGAAAAGAGCCACUGUCAGCCUGUCCAUGGUCAUGGUCUUGCCAUCACAACGGGACAGGCCUCUAUGGGUCUUUUGAACCUGGCACUUCCAGGCACACAGGGGACAGAGGACUGGAGAGAGAAGGGUCAUGCAGGCUGAGAAUCUGGUGUUCCAUGCCCCAGACAGCAUGGUUGGAGCAGAAUGUGGGAGUCUUACCCCUGCUGUUUGGAAGAGACGGUAGCUCAGGAAACUGACUGCCAGAGAGGAAUCUCAAUCUGGCUCUGACUUGGAGGGGACAAAAGCCGGGAGGAGGCAGUGUGAACAAAAGUGUAGGGAGGGAGAGGGGUUUUGAGGUCCCUAGUGCAUGCAGGGAGAGGGGUUUUGAGGUCCCUAGUGCAGUGCAGGGAGAGGGGUUUUUGAGGUCCCUAGGUGCUGCAGAGCCUGCAGGUCCUCAGAGGCUUCUCAGCAGCUUCUGUGGAAGGCAGGAGGAGAGGUGGUCCCUGAGACCCCACCCACUUCACUCUGAGCAGUGUCAUCAUGGCCUGCUUUAUGGAAUAG